rnacentral:lncRNA from 1 species
GUGGGUGCCUGUAGUCCCAGCUACUCAGGAGGCUGAGGCAGGAGAAUCGCUUGAACCCAGGAGGCAGAGGUUGCAGUGAGCCGAGCACAAUGGCAGGACGUGCACAUUCUCAGGGCAGAAGUGAGCUUCUUCAAAGGACAGGUAGGAACUGGUGGCAGCACAGAACAAGUCCUGUGAUUUCCAGAAUGUUCUAAUUUUGGCUUUCUGGUUCUCAGUCCCACAAGGUGGCCACCGAGGACCCUCUGGCCCUGCCGCAGCCACCUCGCCCUUCCUCCCUCACCCUGCGGACCUGACACCUUGGUGUGGGGAAGAUGAAGGGAUGGAGAAGCCCUGCCCACUCCACCUUCCCCCUACGGCAGACCCUGCUUCAGCACCUGCUUCAGCACCUGAGGUCGUCCCCAUCCGUUCACUGAGCCCCAACUCAACAGCCCAGGCCAGAGGGGACCAAAGAGUGAAGUCGGUGGGAAGAGGAAAGAGAAGACAUAGCUACACCCACCACCCCCAAUACUGGGCCACAAUGUUCUGCCCCCAACCCCUCUGCUUCACAGGCCUGUUCUCUUUCCACCAGCUUCUCCCUCUUCCACUCACUGAUCCACCACUCAACUUCCCCACCUAAUCCUCUUGUCAGAGCCGGUGCUCCCCUCUCCCCCACUUAUCUUCCACCCGCCCCUCCCUGAGUAUGGUUCCUCCCAACUAUCCCACCUCCUCCUUCCCGUGCCCCUCAUGUCACCUUUCUGCCUUCCCCCUCCCCACUGUGUCC